GUCCAGUUGAUGGGCUGGACGCCCGCGACGACCUCGCUGAGGAGAGGGGCGGUCCAAUCGAAGAUCUGGUUUCGAUCCCUUUGAACGACGGAAAUGUGGAGCAUAUGGUGAAGAUCGGCUCCAACUUGGGGGAAGAGGUACGGACGCAUCUCAUCGAUUUUCAACGAAAGAACGCAGACUUUUUCGCUUGGAUUCUAGCAGACAUGUCGGAGAUUGACACGG
rnacentral:lncRNA from 1 species